UGAUACUCUCUCCUGGGAUUUCUUGUUCUCCUGUCUUCAAGGGUUGGAUGUUCCUGAAAUGGUUCUACAUUGGCUGAGCUCCUGCAUCUGCUCAACAACCUUCAUGGUCAGUUAUAAUGGUACAGUGAAUGGGUACUUCAAAGGAACUAGAGGGCUGAGGCAAGGAGAUCCGCUAUCUCCCUACCUCUUCGUGAUUGCCAUGAACUGUCUAUCCCAUAUGCUUAAUGAGGUUGCUUCUCAGUCUCGACUAAAUUACCAUUCGCAAUGCAAGAAGAUAAAGCUGACUCAUCUAUCAUUCGCUGACGAUCUUCUCAUCUUCAUAGAAGGGAACAUAGAGUCAGUCCAGUGUAUUCUUCAGGUCUUGAAAGAAUUUGAACAGCGAUCGGGUUUAGCUGUAAGCAUGCAGAAGACAAGUUUCUAUGCAUCUGGACUGUCUGAGGAUGAAAUAAAUAGAAUUCAAGUAUCUACAGGUAUGGUUUGUGGAAACUUACCCUUCAGAUAUCUUGGAGUCCCUAUGAACUCUAGGAAGCUCUCCCUUUCUAGCUGUGAGCCUCUUCUGCACCAAAUCAAGAUGAAAUUCUCCUCAUGGUCAACAAAAACGCUAUCAUUCUCAGGGAGACUCUUUCUUAUAAAGACAGUGAUCGCGGGGAUUACCAACUUCUGGUGCUCCUCGUUUGUUCUACCAAAGGCGUGUGUAGCAAAAAUCAACUCAAUGUGUAGUGUCUUCUUAUGGAGAGGUGAUCUUGAAGCCCACAACACUGCUAGGGUGGCUUGGUCGACUGUGACAAAGACAAAGGAAGAGGGUGGGCUGGGAGUAAAAGAUCUCAUCAUCUGGAACAAGGCUUGCUGUUUGCGCUUGAUCUGGCUUCUCUUUUUCAGACCUGACUCGGUAUGGGUGUCCUGGUUGAAAGAAGUUAUACUCAAAGGAUCAGUAUCUAACUACUGGACAACCAACCCUUCUCAAAACUUCUCUUGGAUGACAAACAAACUACUAAAGCUUAAAGAUGUGGCUUACCCUCUUAUCCGCUUGAGAAUCCAGAAUGGUGAAAGCUGUAGGUUUUGGAUUGAUAAUUGUAGUCCCUAUGGGAAACUUCAGGACUACUUAGAUGGAGGGAGAUCAAGACUAGGUAUUCCAAAAAGAGCAACAUUAUCGUCCCUACACUGUGGUGGGAACUGGACACUCCCAUCUGCAAGAACGGACCGCCAACUUCAGGUACUCUCCUUUAUCACUACCGUCCAAUUCAAUGAAGAUCCAAAUUAUUAUGAGUGGGAGAUAUUUGGAAAGGUUGCAAACAAAUACAGUACGGGAGAAGUCUACAACUACCUGAGAGAGAACGUGGAAGUGGUAACUUGGACUAGAGCAAUAUGGGCUACUCGCACCAUCCCAAGACAAAGCUUUCACGUUUGGCUGGUGGCGCUAAACAGGAUACCUACACGAGGCCGGCUGCUGGGUUGUGGCCUCCAAGUCCCUCCUCUUUGUCUCCUCUGCAACACUGCCAAUGAAUCGCGUGAUCAUAUCUACUGGGAAUGUGGGUUCUCUUUCGAUAUGUGGUCUAUAGUUGCCGGUAGAUGCAGGAUAAACCCUCAUCGAACUUGGGAGAGAUCGCUGAUCCAAAUGUCAUCCCUAAUAUCAUCAUCUGCUAACCAGUCGCUCUCUAUUCUUGGAUGGCAGGCAACGAUCUACUGGCUUUGGAAUGAGAGAAACAGCAGAUUGCAUUCGAACCAGUUUCGAUCAGUCGAUUCCAUCUUCUCCAUUAUCGACCACCAAGUGAGGAACAAAAUCUCUAGCUUCAGAGAAGAUAAUCCUAAGCGAUCAUCUGAGAUGAUGCAACUCUGGAUUAGAUGAUCGCCACCGCUUUGGUCUCACCCUUGCCUUCUCCGUCACCAGACAAAUAACUCUUCGAGUUCCCUCUCUGUUCCUUCCAACUGCAAUUGAGCUGUCACUGGGCCUUUCACCAAGGCUGAACCAACUUAGGGCUUCUGGUUCUAAUAUAUGAGUUAAUGGGCUAUGCUCUUUCUACUAGAGCUUAUGGGAUUUUGUAUAACAUUUUCCUUUCUUUUGCAUUUAUAUAUGAAGCCAGUUUCAAAAAAAAAAAGGAAUGAGAAAUACAUACAAAAAAGAAAAUAAAAUAAAAGUAGAAGAGAGAGAAACCAAAAUUUUAAUGAGAGUUAUAGGGCAAGUUGGCUUAGUGGUCUUGACGGAGAAAAAGCCUCAAUACAGAUCUGGGUUCGAUACACGUUGGUCACAUAAUGACUCAGACCCCUUGAAGGUACAGACGCAGCAGGCUGGUUUUGGGUUCAGAGGGAUUAGUCGGUUGGCCAAGACCGCCGGAUCACCUCCUGAUUACUCAAAAAAAAAAAAAAGACUUCGUACCUAUCAAUUUUUUAAUGAUUUAAUUUUCUAAAAAAUAUCAAAAUCUAACUAAAUAGUUAAAACGUACUCUUAGAAUGAGCCAAUAAUAGGCCGCACAAUGAAAGAAUAAUGGGCCGAAUCUUAAAACGUGCUGAACUGAAAGUCUCUCUCUCAACUAGAGUCUCUCCCAUCUUCACGAGUUUCACCUUCCCUUCAAACCUCACCGGCAACUUGAUCGGAGAUUCUCAUUUUUUUUUUUCUCAAGAACCACAGCUUUGGGAGCGAAGCAUAAUAUCUUUAAUGGGGAUCGAGAUUGUAGGUCAAAUCGAUAAAAUAAAUGGUAAAGAGCUGAGCUACAACGACUUUGCGGAGAGAUACUUAGCCAAGAGCCAGCCGGUGGUAAUCUCCGAUCUCACUGAAGAUUGGCGAGUUCGUGAAGAUUGGGUCGCUGAGAAUGGACUCCCUAAUCUCAACUUCUUCGCUACCCACUUCGGAAAGUCCAGAGUUCAGGUUGCAGAUUGUGAUAGGAGAGAGUAUACAGAUCAGAAGAGACUAGAAAUGUCUGUUUUGGACUUUGUUGAGCAAUGGGACAAAGAUUCUGUUGAGGACAAUGGAGAAGAUGGUGAUGAUGAUGAUGAUGAUGAUGAUGAUGGAAAGUCUGUGUUGUAUCUGAAAGACUGGCACUUUGUCAAG